UUGCAGGGUAUAGACCCGAAACCCGGUGAUCUAGCCAUGGGCAGGUUGAAGGUUGGGUAACACUAACUGGAGGACCGAACCGACUAAUGUUGAAAAAUUAGCGGAUGACCUGUGGCUGGGGGUGAAAGGCCAAUCAAACCGGGAGAUAGCUGGUUCUCCCCGAAAGCUAUUUAGGUAGCGCCUCGUGAAUUCAUCUCCGGGGGUAGAGCACUGUUUCGGCUAGGGGGCCAUCCCGGCUUACCAACCCGAUGCAAACUGCGAAUACCGGAGAAUGUUAUCACGGGAGACACACGGCGGGUGCUAACGUCCGUCGUGAAGAGGGAAACAACCCAGACCGCCAGCUAAGGUCCCAAAGUCAUGGUUAAGUGGGAAACGAUGUGGGAAGGCCCAGACAGCCAGGAUGUUGGCUUAGAAGCAGCCAUCAUUUAAAGAAAGCGUAAUAGCUCACUGGUCGAGUCGGCCUGCGCGGAAGAUGUAACGGGGCUAAACCAUGCACCGAAGCUGCGGCAGCGACGCUGAUGCGUUGUUGGGUAGGGGAGCGUUCUGUAAGCCUGUGAAGGUGU
rnacentral:rRNA from 1 species